rnacentral:rRNA from 1 species
GCGCAUGCAGGUGGUUUGUUAAGUCAGAUCGUGAAAGCCCCGGGGCUCAACCUCGGAACUGCAUUUGAAACUGGCAGACUAGAGUACUGUAGAGGGGGUAGAAUUUCAGGUGUAGCGGUGAAAUGCGUAGAGAUCUGAAGGAAUACCGGUGGCGAAGGCGGCCCCCUGGACAGAUACUGACACUCAGAUGCGAAAGCGUGGGGAGCCAAACAGGAUUAGAUACCCUGGUAG